GGGGAAUAUUGGACAAUGGGCGAAAGCCUGAUCCAGCAAUGCCGCGUGAGUGAUGAAGGCCUUAGGGUUGUAAAGCUCUUUUACCCGGGAUGAUAAUGACAGUACCGGGAGAAUAAGCUCCGGCUAACUCCGUGCCAGCAGCCGCGGUAAUACGGAGGGAGCUAGCGUUGUUCGGAAUUACUGGGCGUAAAGCGCGCGUAGGCGGCGAUCUAAGUCAGGGGUGAAAGCCCGGGGCUCAACCCCGGAAUUGCCCUUGAGACUGGAUUGCUAGAAUCUGGGAGAGGUGAGUGGAAUUCCGAGUGUAGAGGUGAAAUUCGUAGAUAUUCGGAAGAACACCAGUGGCGAAGGCGGCUCACUGGACCAGUAUUGACGCUGAGGUGCGAAAGCGUGGGGAGCAAA
rnacentral:rRNA from 1 species